rnacentral:rRNA from 1 species
CAAUACCGCGUGAGGGAGGAAGGCUCUUGGGUUGUAAACCUCUUUUCUCAAGGAAUAAGUACUGAAGGUACUUGAGGAAUCAGCAUCGGCUAACUCCGUGCCAGCAGCCGCGGUAAUACGGAGGAUGCAAGCGUUAUCCGGAAUGAUUGGGCGUAAAGCGUCCGCAAGUGGCUGUGUAAGUCUGCUGUUAAAGAGUGAGGCUCAACCUCAUAAAAGCAGUGGAAACUACACAGCUAGAGUGCGUUCGGGGCAGAGGGAAUUCCUGGUGUAGCGGUGAAAUGCGUAGAGAUCAGGAAGAACACCGGUGGCGAAGGCGCUCUGCUAGGCCGCAACUGACACUGAGGGACGAAAGCUAGGGGAGCGAAUGGGAUUAGAUACCCCAGUAGUCCUAGCCGUAAACGAUGGAUACUAGGCGUUGCGAGUAUCGACCCUCGCAGUGCCGGAGCCAACGCGUUAAGUAUCCCGCCUGGGGAGUACGCACGCAAGUGUG